UAGUGUUACAGCUCUUUUAGAAUUUGUCUAGCAGGUUUUCGGUUUUUUAGCAGACACCCUCC
ensembl:snRNA U7 U7 small nuclear RNA